GAUGAACGCUGGCGGCGUGCCUAAUACAUGCAAGUCGAGCGAACAGACGAGGAGCUUGCUCCUCUGACGUUAGCGGCGGACGGGUGAGUAACACGUGGAUAACCUACCUAUAAGACUGGGAUAACUUCGGGAAACCGGAGCUAAUACCGGAUAAUAUAUUGAACCGCAUGGUUCAAUAGUGAAAGACGGUUUUGCUGUCACUUAUAGAUGGAUCCGCGCCGCAUUAGCUAGUUGGUAAGGUAACGGCUUACCAAGGCAACGAUGCGUAGCCGACCUGAGAGGGUGAUCGGCCAAACUGGAACUGAGACACGGUCCAGACUCCUACGGAAGGCAACAGUAGGGAAGCUUCCGCAAUGGGCGAAAGCAUGACGGAGCAACGCCGCGUGAGUGAUGAAGGUCUUCGGAUCGUAAAACUCUGUUAUUAGGGAAGAACAAAUGUGUAAGUAACUAUGCACGACUUGACGGUACCUAAUCAGAAAGCCACGGCUAACUACGUG
rnacentral:rRNA from 1 species